rnacentral:lncRNA from 1 species
UACUCCAAUCUACUAAAUAUUGUAUAUUUUUCAGUAAAUCUGAUAAGAUGUUUAUGUAUUCAUACAAGGGGUAAGAGUUUGAUUUUAACUCCUUACAAGAUAUUCUCAAAAUAGAGUAUUCACCUACGAGAAAAAUAAUUUCCCUUAUUCUGAGAGAAUAAUUUGGAGGUCAAAUAUAGUUUACUUUUCUAGACAUUUUGAUUAUUUAUACAUCAAAAGAGGCUCUACAAUGUUGGCUAUUUAUUAUUGAUUAAAAUAAGUCCAACUUUCUGCUCUGUGAUGAUAAGUUUAGGAGACUAAUAAGUUAAGUGAGAUUACAGUCCAUAAUAGACCUAACAGUAAGAGACCUAACAAUAAACUUAAUGUCCAGAUGAGCUGAAUCGGGUUGAAGGCCAUGAACACUAUGGUUGAAUCCUUAAGUACGAUGGAUGUAUCAUUUCUAUCAACACGUGUUUUUGAAAGUUAGUAAACGCUUACGAUCUACAUACGAGACUACGAGAAAGAACUACGUAAUCCAAAUGCUUCGAGUUGAGGGCCAUACACUCUUCUAUAUAGUCUGCAUUUAUCCAAAAUUUAAUUCAAGUUAUGAUAAUAUAAAUUGUAUAUUUACUUUGGCCAAAAGAAAAAAAGAAAAGAAAAGAAGAAAUAUUCAGCUUAAUUACCAACAUGAUAUAAACUUACACUAUUGGAACCCUAACAAGUCGAAAACAUUUGUAGGAAAUAGAGAUGUAACGUAACAAACCUUUCUGGCGCUUGUAGCGAGUGUUACACUGCGGGCAGCAUUGGUUCCCUUCACUCCUCUCAUACUCAUAACAAGGCCGGCACACCGGAAAGCCGCACUCGCGGCACGCGACGAACAGCUCGCCGUCGCCCCUGAGCCCGAUCUCGUCCCCGCAAACCCGGCAUGUUCUCGCAUUCGCGACCCGGCUGUUCUUCUCCGUAGGCUGCUUAUCAACGUACGUGCAUGCACAAAAUAGAUCAAAUUAUAUAACCACUACUUCAGUAAGGACAGUGAUGCUGAUAGAGCAGACACGUUUGAUUUUACAAGAAUAUGCAAGUCGAGUCAAUCAUAUAAACAUUGUUUAAGUUCAAUGUAUCUGCUCUGUCAAUAACAAUUUCUACUGUUCAGUAUUUUUGUGAAGUCGGUACAAAUACGAAAGUAUGCAGAAGGAAAUACGAACAACCUCUUCGUGGCCAUGCAUCACGUGCAACUCCUUGCGUUGGUGCGAGCCCGCGACGAGGCCGGCCAUGUCCAUGAGAGGAGGAGGAGGAGAGGAUGAGGGAUGGAGGAGGGGAGAGGAGUGAUGGGGGUGGUAUAUAUAAAAGGGUGGUGGUGAGGUGGGAGAAGGCAAUCCUUCACCAACUGUGGGUUGAGGGGUCAGUGGUUUUGAUUAGAAGAGAAGGUAUAUAGCCUGCGACUUGUGCUGGCAAAAGGGCUCGCUUGGAGCCUAAGUUGUUGCUCAAAACUAACACCCAUGCAGCAGGUGUUUGGUGUGUGGUUUAUACAUGUACAUAGAUAUACACUUGAAGCAAAAGACUUCGUUACAACAUGUAAUUAAGUUACUCAUCCAUUAUAGUAGUAUUUCAUAGAACUAGACUAGAAUACUACCAACAGCACCAAGCUAUCAGUGCUAUUAGAUUUUCAGCAUUUGGAUGAAGGAAUAUACGGUUAGGAUGAUGUAGACUUUAUAGGGUUGAGUAAGUUGUUGGUUGAAUAGUAUAUUCUAACGGAUAAAAAUAGUCAAAAUGUUGAAUUUAACGGUAGAAAACUCGAUAACACCAAACGUUUGGUGCUAUCGAUAGUAUCCCAGCCGAAUUCGUAUUUCAUAUCCUCUCUAAAAUCAGGCCUUUUGUUUUGCAUAUAUUUGUAAACGAUGUUUUUCUUUUUUUUUCUGUUGUUAGUUUGUAGAUUUUUACUGUAUACAUAUUUGUUCAUACUUGAAGUGUGAUUUGAAUUUGAGACAAGUUGCUUGAGCAGGAAGGUACUGUCUAACUGGUCUGACAAACAGUGGUAAAUAAAAGUAUGAAUUUCAUAUAAGAUUUCGAAAAUUCCUAUGUAUCAUCUUUGUCUCAUUUCAAAUUUAUAUAAGAUGUACAUAACCUACUAAACUGAUGUUCUAAAGGAGGAUGGGACUGAGAUGUCCCAACAUCCCCUUCAGUUCAUAUUUUCCUGAUAGAGAUUUUUAGGGGAAACUUUAUGUAAAUUUGAAGUUAGUAGGGUCAAGAAAAUAGCAUCCUUUAACUUGAAAGGAUCUCUAGUGUAAAAAGGUAACGGCUACCAAUUAAGCAACCCAAAAAAGCUAGUACAUCAUUCUCAUUGUACUUUUAUAGCUUGCUUACUAAUUAUUGAUUUGCACACAUAAAGUAGCUAGCUCCUAAUUAAGUUCUUUUUCGUUGGAAAACUUUAUCUUAAUUAACUAUUUCAUUAAGGAAAUUUAUUAGUGUCUUAAUAUUACAAUAAAGAGUAAAAAACUAACUGGGAUGCUCUUGGUUCAAGUGCUUAGCAUGCUUCAAUUUAGUCCUCAAUAUGACCUCCAACCUGUAUAGUGUAUUGCAAUUUUACUCCUUUCAUUAGUUUGCCAUUUCAGUUUCUCCAUUAAAAUGGACAAAGAUAUCCAAAUGAAAUCUUAAAAAAAAAAAAGAGAAAAAGAAGGAAAACUUCAAAUACCACCCCUGUGGUUUCGCACUUUUUUACUUUAGUACCCCGUGCCUGUGGUUUAAAGUGUAUCAGUUUAGUACCCUACGAUUUCGCACUUUCUCACUUUAGUACCUUGUGGUUUAAAGUGCAUCAAUUUAGUACCCUGUGGUUUCAUUUUUCUCUUUUCGUCGGCUCAUCUGUUAAUAUUUCGUUAACUUAUAUACAAAAAACUUCAGAUAUCCUACCUAGGUUUAUCGAAUAUUUACUUUAGUACCCUUUAGCUCUAACUUUGUCACUUAUUUUUUUCUCCUCCGUUAAUAUUUUGUUAUAUUAUAUACAAAAGACUUCGGAUACCCUACCUAGGUUUAUUGAAUAUUCACUUUAGUACCAUUUAAUUUUAACUUUGUCACUGAUUUAACGAAAAAAAUUAAUGAAAUAGAUAAUAAGAAGAGAAAAAUGAAACCACGGGAUACUAACUUGAUACAUUUUAAACUAAAGGGUACUAAAGUGAGAAAGUGCGAAACCACAGGGACUAACUUAGUACACUUUAAACUACAAGGUACUAAAGUGAGAAAGUGUAAAACCACAGGGACUAACUUAGUACACUUUAAACUACAAGGUACUAAAGUGAGAAAGUGUAAAACCACAUGAGGGGUAUUUGAAGUUUACCCUAAAAUAAAUAGAUAUUAUCUCUAGCAAUAAAAUGGAAAGUUUAAGAAAACAACUGUUGAAAUGAAAAAGGCCCCUGGCAAGUCCCUCUUUAAAAGCAAGAAGAGACCAAGUGAUAGGCAAAACAAAAUUACUGGACACAAAUUGAAUACUCCAGAGAGAAUGCUUACAUAAGCAACACGGAAUAAGAACUUUAUAAUUCAAUUUCCACUUUAUUUAAAGAAACCUAAAUUGUUCCUUUUGCACCAGAACUUAAGAAAACCACGAAUGCAGCAAGUAAACUUUAUUGUCAACCAGAAUGGUGAAAAUGAUUACAUUAAAUACUUUCUUACAUUAUGUGGAGUUGCUGUAACUAAAUCACUAUAAUUUUCCAUGAACAAUUUGAUUCUAACCCGGCAACGUGUGAUGAGCAUAUGUUGCCAGCAGAGAUUGUUAGACGAGCUCCAUAAAUACUUCAACUUCAGAACUGAUCUAUUUGAAAAGCAUUUAUGGUAAAAAAAAAAGAAAAAAGAAAGAAUACAAAAUGCCACUUUUCGGAAACCAUCUGUUGAUAUUGGAACUUGGUAGUAAUUCACAGGCCCUCCGCAAAACGAAGUGAUUUAAGAUUCCACAUAAUUUCACGCGCGAUUUUGGCUUUUGAUGCAACCCAUAUGUUUGAUGGUGCUUUUUUUUCCUUUUGAAAUGUCCAUGAUAUAUGUAGCUACAAAUCAUGGAACAGCCGCCUAAUUUGUUCAACUGUUGCAGGCAUCAAUGUGACAGGGCAUCUUUUAUGCUGCUCAGCCCAAAAAAAAAAGAAAAAACCACAUUAGAAAAGGCAGUGAGGGGGGAGAAGAGAACAUGUGCAUCCCAUUUAAGGGGGAAUAUGUCAAAAAGUUGAGAGAUUUUACCUGUGAUACAUACUUAAAUAUGCAACUAUAGCAGAAAACAAAACCGGAAACGGCAAGAACCGAUGGGUUGGCUCGUUUUUGGCAGCAUAGAGGACACAAUGUCCUAUCCGGUGGUAAGGGAAUUCCAUCCUUAGCAACCUGCGGUUGAAGUUCAUCACCAAACAAUAUCAGAAUAGAGGGAGUCAUCACUGAAUUGAUUAGCUUUGAGGAAUUCAGUGGAGAUAACAUAAAAACAUCGCAUUCAACUCGAGCUUCUUAGCAGCUCGUUUACUAGAGCAUCGUUUCGAUACACUUACAUUGUUUAAAAAAAAAAAAAAAACUCAAAUUCGUUCCAAGUGAUUGUACCGGCAAGCUAGAAUUUUCUGUCAUAGUUAUUGUUGGUUAACUAGACAACCACCUUUUUGAGAAACCAAAAAAGCAAAACGGUAACUAUCAACGAUGUAAAAUAUUGCAACAGUCCUGUCAUCCACCAGCACAUUCAAUCGCUUGGAAUAUAUAUUAAAUAAGCACAUAUGUAACUAAACAAGGCCUAUAUAUGAUGCCUUCACUGCAAAACGAGCCCAUGAUAUUUAAGUCACCUUCGGAGGUGGAGGUGGAGGAGGCGGGGGAUAAACAGUUGGUGCUGACAUCCUUUCUUCUGCGGAUUGGUACCACCAUUCCAUCAUCUGCAUAAGAUGCCCAAAGAGUCAUAUUUCAAGUGUAAAGUAACCAACUUUAUAUUCAUCACAUUAGAAAGUGGAUUUCAGACUUUGUCAAGUACGUCAUGAUGAAAAAUAUCUGGCAUUUGACUACACAAAAGCCAUAUCAAAAGCAAGAAGGUUUUAUAAUCACAAGUGCAAGAAAUUACAUUUCAUUGUUGGUAACUUAUCCAACAGCAGACUAUCAAAACUAUCAGUAAUGAUAACUGAGAUGCUAUCUUAUCCUGGUGGGACAUAUUCGGACAAACAGCAAACAAGAGAGGAAAGAAUAACAGCAUUGGAGUUGGAGCAAGAAUAAUCAUAAGUCAUCAAAACGUCGGAAAAGAAAAUCAUAAGCCGAAGCCAGAUUAUUUUGAGCCAUACUCCUAUUAAAGUUUAAAAAGUACAUAAGGCCCACUAACCUUGAAAAAGAAGACAGCAGCAAUUAAACCAGUUUGCGCAUAAUCCAAAGUGGUGUAUAUGCAAUUGAGAAGCACUCUCUGCACAGCCUGUGUGGAACAAAUAUACUAUGAUUCAUAUUUUUUUACUUACAGGCACAGACAGCUUGCUGAGUAAUCCUCACAACACGAAAUAAGAGGUACUCCACAAUUUAUCAGAAAAUAAGUUAUUUGCACCUUCAACCAUGGAGGACCACGCAGCCGCUCAAGUUCACGACUUCUAAUCCUUGAAAUCCUAGAUGAUGUAUCCAUCUACCUUGACAUGGAAAGGUAAAAACUAGAGAAUUUAACUAGCAAUACACAAUAUAAUUUAUUUAAUGCAUUUUGUAUCUUAUUUUAAAUAGUGAUUUCAUGUAAUACACGAUAAAAUCAACCAUGUUGACUAGAUAUAGAAGUUUGAAAAUAAAGUAACAGAGCAGAGCAGAUGCUUUAAUCUUGUAAAUGUUUUUGAUAUUCUAUUCUUCUUGACCUUCUAGUGAAAGUAACAAGUAACAGCAAAGAUAAAUGCUGAUAGAAACAAGCAUUAGUAGAAGAUGAUAUGCCAGUUUUCUUCAAGGCUAUUAUCAGGAUAUAUGCCAAUAAAUUAGUAGUAAAACAUUACAUACCAGUUCUUGUCCUGUUGCACGACAAACAUGAAUUCCAAGUGCAUGUAGCGCUGGACUAUAAAACCCAGUAGCAUCCAAAAGAUACAAUAGUUGGUAAGCAAAUGACAGGCCUGUAGAGAAUGAAUGAAUUACAGGGUGUGAAUAUUGUGUUCCAUUUCUGUAAAACAUCAAAAGGAGAGGAAAUGCAAUUCAAGCGCAAUUUAUUAUCUUCAGAUGAAAGCACAAAGACAAUACUUUUCAAAUAGCAGUGGCUCAAAAUGGUAAUUGCUCAUGUCUGAAGGAACGAGUUAGGUUUAAGAAGGGCAUAUACAGAAGUUUAUAAUAGUCAAAGCAGGUAGGCUCGAACUUUUAUCUUGGAUGUUGGUUAACUUGUCUUAAACAUCGCAUGGUGGAGAAUUUCGAAAUAGUUUCCAAGUAGCAAUCUAAAGAGUUUAUUGUGCAGUGUACUAGUAGCAUUCUAGCAUGCAUGAGCUUGUUGGAUUGCUGUUUUGUAUUUAACAGUAAUAUACGCAUAUGAGCUUUCUAAGAUACAAUGGAGAUGGUACUAUAUAUGAGCCUUUUAAGACUAAACAUAUCAGAUAUGGUAUUUGUGAGUAUGGAUGAAAAGAGUAAACCAAUGUUCAAGCGCAUACAGAACUGUUAAAGGUUUUGCAAUAAACUAGUACAAGCCGCAGACCUUCAUUGGUGGCAUGAAUCCAAGGGUAGCAAGCACCUAUAAUAGCCAUAACUUUCCUCUUGAGAUGUGUCACACUUGAUACUUCCACACUUGUGGUUUCAACUUGUGCAUGAGAAGUUUCUCCUUGAUCUAGAAGAAAACCAGCUUCGUCCAGUCCUGGAUCAUCUUGGCCCCAAAGACUUGCUUGAAGCCUAGCUUCUCUUUCUCUGUUAUAGAUAGAGUGGAGCUUUGACUUGAAAUAUGGUAAAACAACCUAGAAUAGAAACAACCCUCAAUAUAGUUACUUCAGUGAAAAACUUAUAUAUGUGUGCUGAAACUUUUGAAAUUGUUUCUUUCGUUAUCUAAACAAAAUUCAUUGCAAAGAAAUGAAAACCGCUUUCACAGAAAAAGAAAUAAGGUGCCAGCAGGUACAACGGUACAAACCGUGCUGACACUAGACUAGCAUGCAGAGUUAUAAUAACGGUUGUUUCAAAAGCAAAACAUAACACCAAUUUUAAAAGAAAAAAAUAUUUCUCUUCUCACACACCGGAAUAAAAAUAGGGUAAUUUGAACUGUAAACGGAUAGACUAAUGCAUACUCAUGACUUUCAGCAGAAAUAAGAAAUAACUGUCUUCAGAGGAUCACAUAAUAUGUUGUCUAAUCAUUAAGGAAAAUAAAUAUCGACAAUGCUAAAAGCCAAAAGCAGACUUUGAUACCAGAAACACAACUGAAAGGACUUUUUGAUGCUUCCGCAGCCCAGAAUUAUAAACUUUAUCACUAGAUUCCACAGAAGUAGUGCCUUUAUCAGCUGUAAUCUUCACUGCUCUCCUUCGCAAACCAUAUAAGGACUCCGAGAAAGAAGCAUCUGAAAGGGAGAAAAUGCAAAGAAUCACAACAUGCAUGAUUGAAAAUCUUUUGAUUGAAAAAAGCAAAUUAUCAAAAGAAAAUUAAUGGAUUAAAAGUAACAUCACACAGCAAGAUAUCCUAGGAUUGAUAGAUUGAUGAAAUUCAAGAAUAAAAUCCACAGGAAUAUUGAAGAGCAAAAUGAUCCAAUGAUUCCAAUCACCACUAAAGAAUUAAACAUGGAGUCAUCUCAGGUAUAGAUCUCGAGUCACAAUUUUUUAAAUUUUAAGUGAUGUUUACUUUACAGAAGCAUGUACUUCUACUAUUACUCUCUGACAUUAAAAAUAUUGUGCUUCAACCAUGUUUCACAGCCAGUUUCUGAUCUUCUUUACAAUCGUUAGCAACUAUCCAAAAGAUUUCUGAAAUAUCAUCUAUGAAAUAUGGUACAGCUGGAGGGCGUGCUUAAGCAACUGCAUCAAUCAAUUUGUGCAGUAAAUGCCGUUUGUCAACUUCUUGACGAGCAAGCAUGAUGUCCUUUACUUUAUAGUAAUCGGCCAUAAAAGAAGCUAGCACACAUUCGUGCGGAUCUGAGUGAAAAUUGAAUGGAUUUUAUUUUAUUCUACCGUUAUGCAGUCAACCAAUCUUUUUGGUGGCAUGCAUUGCAGAAAAUAGCAACAAUAACAAGCAAGGCAAGAUCCUGAGGAAGGGAAAAGAAAUAAAUAGAGUGCCGCGAGAUAAGCGACACUUGCCGACAAACCUCAUAAGAGCAAAACAAAGGUGCAAUAUAAAAAACAUAAACUAGCCAACAAGUUCAACAUCAUGAUGCAGAUCUGGCAGGCCCUGCCAUCUCAAAUUGUUGCAACCUUGCAAUAGAAAUAUAGAGAGACAAAAUGAAAUCUACAAACUACGGUGGAGCAGAACCUGUUGUUCGUAAACUGUGAGUUUCAAGCACCGCCAUCAAUAAUGCAAAGAAUUCGUCAUCAUAAUCUAACACUUUGUGAAGGAAUGGUCUUCUUAAAGCGAGCACCUGUCACACAUAAAAUAAUGGAUCAGCACGCAUUUACACAAGCACUUGGCUGAUAAAAACAAACUAAGUUAGGUAAACGCCUUGCGAUUCCCCCCUCCAGUUAGCAUCUAUUAUCAUUAAAAGCUUCCUCUUGUACUACAACUCAAAUUUCAUAGGAAUCCCCUAAAUGAGCCCUUAUCAGUGGAAUUAGCCAGAUCAUGGACAUAGGAAACAGUAACAAGAACACAAACGAAGCAAAUUUUGAAUCCUAAAUCGAUCAAAUCAAACAAAAUAUCACUAGACUAUGGAGCACUAACUCAAAUUAUGCUCUACCCCCGCCUGAUAAAACCGAAAUCAUGUAGGUAAACGCCAUCCAAUUCUACUCAACUUAGUAUCUAAUCACUAAAAAUUUCCUCUUUUAUUACAAACUUCAUAGAAAUCACCUAAAGGAGCCCUUAUCAUUGGAAUUAACCAAAAAUUCAGCAAAAGUGAGACCCUAACUCGAUCAAAUUACCCAAUAAUACACGAAAACGAAGCGGGAUCGAAGGAGAUUAUUACCCCAAGAGAGUAGGUGAGAGCAGCUCUGAGGCUCGCGGGGAGCUGCUGCGCCGCCGCCAUCUCGAAGAAGGUCGGCCGCGUCCCCUGCCCCCCAACCUGGAACAACAUCUCGUCCUCCUCCUCCUCCUCCUCCUCCUCCUCGAUCAAAGAAUUAGGGUUUGUUUAGGGUUAGGGUUUAGGGCUUCGUCGCUUCUCCCUUCUGCGGAGAGUGCGGGAAUGGGAAUCUUAUUUUAUUAUUUAUUUUAUUUUUCGGGGGUUUUUUUGUUUCGAGGGGGGUUUUAGGGAAAAAAGAAAAAGAAAAAAAGGAGAAAAGUGCGUGUGACGUGGACUGUAGGCUCACUACACGUUGACGACAAAAGCAUAUUUCUUUUUUUUAUUAUUUUUNUUUGGAUAAAAGUGUAUGGAAAUUGUCUAAAUUAUGAUUCACUAGUGCAGUAACCCAUGCGAUGCGACGGCCAAAAAAAUAAAAAAAUUAAAAAUAUUUAAUGAGAUAUUUUUUUAUAAAUUUUUAAAUAAUUUAUAUUGAUUAAUUAUAAAUUAUUCAAACGUAUAGGCAAUCUAUAUGUCUGAGUCGACAGUUUAAAAAUAAAUGAAGACAUUACAUGUUUGCUAAAUAUACUUUAUCAUCAUAUUUUAUAUCAAUAUUAAUAAUAAAUUAAUAUAAAUAUCAGUUAAUUUUUUUUUUAUAAAAAAGGUCCUUAAUGAGAAUUUCUAUAAAAACAAAGAGAAGAGAAAAAAUGGCAUAGAUUUGACCGAGCUCGGUCGAAGCAAGAAAGAGGGCACCGGUUUGGUUCAAGCAAAUAAAAAGAAAUUUAGCUCUGUUCAAGCAAAAAAAAAGAACUUGAGCUACUUCAGGGUGGAACUCUUAUUCAAUAAUUAUUGGUUCGGUUCAGAUAAAUUAAAAGAGAAAUUUGGUUCAAAGACAGAAAUAUACAGAGCAAUUUGUUUGGUUCGAUCUAAUGAAGUAAAUUGACCCGGUUCAGCAUUAUUGGUUCGGUUCAGAUAAUUAGAAAAGAAAUCUAGUUCAAAGACGGAAAUAUAUAGAAUAAUUAAUUUGGUCCAAUAAAGCAAGUUGAUCCGGUUCGGUUCAAGCACAAACAGAGAAAAAUUAAAUAAUUAUUUGAAGGACUCGAGCCGGUUCAAGGUGGCACCCAAUAAUCCGGUUUGGUUCAAACAAAGAAAGAGAAAUUGGUGGAGCCCAUAUUUAAUUUAACAAAGAAAGAGAAUGAUGCCAUGUGGCAAAGUUUAAAAGAAAUAAUGUAUAGGUAUAGAGGUAUAGAUAGGUAUAGACUGUAAUUUAAUUAUUUAAUUUUAAUUAAUAUUGAAAAUUUUGAAUGUGCUAUUUAUUUAGUUAACUUAGUUAGCUUAUUUUAUAUAAGCGGCGAAAUUUUGUAACUCAAAUAGUUUAAAUAAAAAAAAGUUUAAAUUUUUUUUUUUGAGAGAUAUGUAAGGAAGUGAAUUCUCAAAAUCCGAGGAUUAGAUUUCGUUUAGAAUCGACUAGUUGUCGAGUGUGUAGGCUUCGGGAAGUCCGAAAGUGAUUAAAAUGCACUAAGUGCAUUUUAGGAAGAGUCCGCGAGAGCAAGUAGUUCGAAACUGCACUUGGUGGAGUUUUGCUCUCGGGGAUCGGUCCCUGGCAGGGAGAGACCGGUCCCCGAGGCUAGUGGUUGCGGGGAUUGCUGAUGCAAUCGGUCCCUGGGUUAGUGGGACCGGUCUCCCCAUGCGUGGAAAUUGGCGAAGGCCAAAAAUUUGGCUAAGUCCCGGAGAGGCAACUCUCGGGAACCGGUCUCCCGGGGACCAGUCCCUCAGGCUGAGACCGGUUCCCGACGCCCGAAAUGCCCAGCGGGGGCUGUUUCAUAAAUUGAAAGUUGAGGGGGGGUUUUCUGCAAAAUGCCCAUAAAAGAGGCUUGGGGGACCACUCCUUUCCCUCUUUCUCUCUCUCUCACUCUCACACGUUCUCUCUUUCUCUCUAGAAACAAAAGGAGAAGAAGAAGAGAAAGAAGAAGAAGAAUGAGAAGAAGAGAAAGAAGAAGAGGAAGACCAAGAAGAAGAAGAAGAUCGUCUUCUUCCUUCUCUCUCUCAAGCUUGAAGAAGCUUUUAGAGGUAAGCUCAAACCCUACAAUGGUGGAUUCUUUGAGCUUGGGUUUUAUGCUUUAGAAAUGGUUCGAAUGAAACCUAUUGGAGUUAAAUAGAUGGUUCUAGCUUGAAUCCAAGGUUUGAACCAUGAAUUUCUCCAUUGUUGCAAACCUAGGGCUCCGAUUUGGGGUUUUGGGAAAGUUAGGGUUUUGAUCUCUUUUGAUGGGUUGUAAACCUAAUUGCUACGUCUCUAAAUGCGUUGGUGAAGACGGUUCGUCAAUCCGUCGAGCAAGUGCGGAGAUAUCGCCGAAACAAGCGCUCAAGUGUUCGUAUUGACCCGAAGAGUCGAGGCGGCGACUGAGGAUCGCGACGUCGAGUUUUCUAGCUUUACGGCACUACAAAAGGUGGGGGUGUCCAUCCCGAAGCAGUUGAACUGCUCCCUAUGUCUAAGUUGUUAAGUCGAUCAAGUUGCAUAUUGUAAUAUCGCAUUAUAGGGUGCUAGAUGGUAAUUGUCAUAUAUUAUUGCAUACUAGUGUUAGCUUGGCUUUAUGGAUAUAGCGUUGAACCUAGUAUGCAUGAGUUGAGCGUGAUAUAGUUUAACCCUAUAUGUGAUGGAUGUUCUUACGAGGAUUAGAAUCUAGUAAAGUGUAAACCAAUGUAUUGGAGAAUUGUAAUAAGAACGAGUGGCAUCUAGUUAACAAUGAACACAAAACGAGUGGCAUCUAGUUAACAUUAAAUAUGAGAACGAGCGGCAUGAGAACCUUAGUGUAGUUCUGAAACACUAUGGGAUUGAGUACUAGAUACUUUGAUUCUAUGAUGAAACCGACCUUAGUUGGUAGGGUGUUCCCAGUUCAUGAGAUCGGAUUGAGCUCACAUAGCUUGUCUGCGCCUGUUGUGGUAGCUCCACACAGGUAGUGUACUCCGGAGAUUGUCACUCAAGGGGGCCUAAUGUAGAUGCCCUUGGACCAUUGUAGCUGUCCGCAGGCGGUCUCGGGGGUAAUCGAGCAGUUAGUCUCCUCCUUUGUGAGACUUACACACGUGAGAUUGAGAGCUUGCCCUCGGGUUAGCCGAGAGAUUGGGUGAUCUAGAGAGUUGCUUUAUGGUUGAGCAUAGUAGGAUGGCCGUUAGCCUUACUAUUAGUUGCAUGCAUUCAUUCUUGGAUUGAGGCAUAGUUAGAUGUUUGCAUACAUAUCUGCUUAAAUAUCGUCAAUGCUUUCAAUUCCAUAUACCUAUCUAUCUAUCUAUUGUCUCUCUAUGCCUGCUUAGACUUAGUGGGGAGAUCGGCGGAGUCGGCGACCGAACUCACUGGAAACUAUUCGUAGUUCUCAUCCAACUUUGUUGCAGGUCCGAGUGCGAGUACUCCCGGCGAGGAUCGCGGUAAGGGCAUAGCGCCCUAAUGCUAGUAGUAGCCUCUUUUCCUUAUGCAUUAGAGUUUCACCUUGUAUAUACAUACUUGAGAGUAGAUGAUGUAUAGGUGUGAGGCAUUUUGGAUGAUUGUAUAAUUACAUUUUGGGAAGAAUGCAAAGAUGUAAGUAAAUGUAUAAAGUUGAAUGGAAUGUAAUAGAAUAGCUAAGUAUCUCUCUUUAUUCACCUGUAUGGUUGUAUUAUUCAUGAUGCUUGCUCUCAUAUUGUUCAGUACUGUUUGUGCUCUCGCUAGUUGUUGUAUGAUUGUGUAUGUAUUCAAGUUAUUUUUCUGGGAACUUGUUGUACACAAUCUGGUUGUUAGCCUUGAGCGGACAGGGAAGGUGCUGUCCGUCCAGUAGCUGUGCGACACGCCCGAACCGGACCAAAUCGGUAGCGGGCUCGGGGCGUGACAAGAUAGGUAGCACGCUAUCCGCUUCGUUUAUUUCAUUUAAAAAUAAACUUAGCUGGAAAUGUGAAUCAACUAGGAUUCGAACUUGGGUCUCGGGUACCACCACCAAGCCCUUUGCCACUUGCUCUAGAGACGGUCGGUAAANCUAAAACAGAUAUAGCAAGUUAAGUACUAAAAUAUGCAAUGAAAAUGCUAAAAGAAGAAUGACUCCAGUACAAGGAAGUGAUAGAACAUUUAAGCCAAUUCCUCACCUUAUUGUCGAGCUUUGCAUCAGCUUCCAAGACAGUUGAAGCACUUGUAUUUUGACUGCUCUCGGCUUUGAAGGACUCAUCCCACAUGCUCAUUUGGUGGUUUGGUUCAUAUAUACCCAUCCUUCUAGAGGUUACAAAUUGAGUUGAUGCAGUUGUCAUACUAUUUGAACUGAAAAGUGAAAAAAAAAAAAAAAAAAAAAAAAAAAAAAAAAACUUAAAAAGUUAGAUCUAAAAGUGAACUAUAAGUCUUUAUUUUUUGUUUCCUGAUGUAAAAUGAAUGGAUAGAUCCUGCAAUAUCCUCAUAGUGCAACUCUUUAUUAUGUAAUUUUGACUUAAAACACUUUUAUUUCUACAUUUUUAUAAUAUCUUUCACUAAGGUAUUUGACCAUUGAAAAACAUGAAAUUUCUAUCGUAAAUUGACCUUUUGUACCUAGGUUAAAGUGUAAAUGGCCAGCCAUUUAAUAAAAUUGGAGGAGGAUGUAGCUAGUGACAAGAAAACCUAAGCACCAUAAAAUUGCAGCAGCAGCAACAGCAAGCGAAAACAAGCACAUAUGAAUUCAAUCUUUGAGUGCUGAGGUGACCAAAAAGGAUCAACAAGCAAAAACACAAAACGAAAACAGCUUUUGAAACAACUUCUCUACUGCAACUAAAAACAAUCGAACAUUUUUGGCGUAAAAAGGCUUAGAAGGUUUGAUGUUGCAUGAAGAUGCUGGGCCCUCAAUGCUAAAAACUACGACUCGAGAUUUCUGCUUCUACAAUAAGUUACUUGAAGUACCUUUUCUAAAAAGCAUUUGCGCAUUUUCCACCAGAUUACUCAAACAGCACUUUUACAAAAGCUCUAAGCUAACCAAAUAAGCCCUCAAAGCCAAAGGUUUGUUAACAAUAUAUAUCAUUCAAUUUGCCAUACAACACUAGUAGCUUUCUGAAAUUGUCCUCCAAAAUCUUAAAUUAACUCGACAAAAGGAAGCCUAUAUCAGAAAAACUACAACCUAGGACUACAUUAUUGCCUAAAACUAAAAUGGAGUCAAGAAAUUGUUUGACCCAUUUAUACAUGAAAAUGCCACCAUGUUUGUUGGUCUCCCGAAAAGUUCAAUCAGCUUCCCCCACUUAAUACACCUAAUGUUCAAUACUCCAAAUAUUUACUAGAGAACGGCACCGAAUUGCACCAACAAGAACAAAAUCAGUUAAGGCUCCGAGUUAGCCGAUGAUGGCUCGAUUUCUUGGCCCCUAGCACGCUUGAGCUUUGGCCCAUCUGUCGUAUUUUCUCCUUGAUCAAAGGAUUCGGCUUCUGCCUUCUUCUUCUUCUUCUCGCCCACAAGCCGAGGGCUCUUGGCUUCUAAAUUGGAACUACUAGGUAUAUCAUUCGUCUCAGCUUGCGCAUUUUCUUGGAUCCUGUUGUUCGUGUCUGAAUGCGAUUGGUCAGAAGAUAAUGUCAAUGGGUCGGCAGAGGUUGAAGGCGGCUUGCCGACGCCGGAUUUGUACUGCUUCUCGAACAUCAUCUGAAGGCACCUUCCUUGCUCUUCAAUUCGGAGUUGCAGAUUCCUUUGAAUCUGAGAUAUAAGGGAAAAAAAAUAUAUGUUCAGACUAUUAAAUAAUAUUCCAUAAUGGGAAAAACUCAAGGUUUGAAUAUAAUUAUAAUGUGAAUCUUCUAACUAAUUUGAUUGUGUACAAUCAAAAGACUAAUUUGAUAGUGGACUUUUAAGGCAUGAAUGUGCAUGUUUCGGUUGAAAGAAAGUUAUUCAUUUCACAGUUUUCUGAACAUACGAAAGAAGUGGCGCAAACUAUAAUAUGUCGAACAAAUUUUUAGAAAUCUCAGAAUAACGUGGCUCGGAGUGAAAUUUGGAGCUCAAGUGCAAGCCCCUGGAAGUUUGUGGACUACUCAUGACUAAACAUGCUUCACAUGGACUUCAUAAACAGCAGGAAACUCCAAUUGGAUUUGACUUCCAACCUAUAUUGCUACUCUUUAACUCAGCACUUCUUCGAAGUCUUAAUAAAAGGUAGGUAUUAGUUAAACAAAUAAAGCAGUAGGUGUAACAGAAAACAGAACAAAAAUUCUACGAAAUGUACCUCCAGCUGUUCAUGAAGUCGUUUCUGAACUUCCAUCUGAAGACGCAGGGCCUCAGUGAGAUCAAAGCUCCUAUUAAAGAAAUGACAGACAAUCCAAGGAGCAAAUUAGAACUUUAUCAGCCAUAACAUGACCAAGAACAUUCAUAUGAUAUAUAGGACAUGAGAAAAAGGUUAAAGAAUGUCUCAGAAGUCAUCAUCCACAAUUUCUAAACCGGCUAUAUACAGCAGCUUAUCUUGCUGGGAAUAGAAUGUCUCAGAAGUCAUUAUUACAAUCCCUCGUAUGUCAUUCACUUUCACUUUUUCAUGUCUGAGUGGCGCUGAUCCUAUUCUCUUGACAUAUUUUGUGAACUACCAAGUGUAGCUGCAAAUGGUACUCUUGAUUUGCCUAACUGUAAGAUCACUUAUUAUCUUGUAUACACAUUCUGACCGCUCAGCUAUCUGACUCCUUUUUCUAUUUUGGCAGAUUAAGAAAUUAUCUAAAAUUUAAAAACUAACGUAUUAUUUUUGAAUAAUGGUAUGCUAUUACAUGGCAUACCACAUCCUUUUUUUUUGGGUGCAAAAUCCACAUUAAUCUGUAUUCAGUUUUGAUCCUUUACAUGGCUACAAGCAACAGGGACAAGAUAUUUUGAAGCAAACUUUUGUAAUAAAAGCAUGAAAAUGUUGCUGAACUUCAAGAUAUGAUAAUUUUUCACAAAAGAAGUAGAGUACCAACUUUAUAUUCGUUACCCCAAGUCCUCUUAAAAGAGGCAAUUUACAAAGAAACCAAAUUGUGAAAUUAGCUAUUAUACGUAUGAAAUUCACUUACGUCUUAAGGUCUAGAGAUGACAACUCCUCUUGAGAAGUACCCUUCUUUUCUGAGGCACCUGCAUUUAUAGUGAGAUAACCAAUUGCAGAUCAAUUUCCUUCACUAUUAAAAUAAUAGCAGUUACAGAACAAUAAAAAAAAGUUUUGAAAAGCAUUUCUGCUGAAGUCAGAGAUAAUUCCUAGAAGCAAGCAUAGAAUGUAACCGCACUGGGACAUCAAAAUGCAUAUGAAAAUGGAAAACAACAUCAAACUUUGUAACUUUAUUAAAUUUACAUCACUAGAUGAAAAAAAAUGAGAAGCCGUGUCAGUACUCCACAAGAUGAACUUCUGUAUUAAGUACAUACAAACCUUCAGAUGACUCUGGCCUAUAUCGAGCUGUUCUGUACUUCUGCAGGAGGGGAAAAAAAAACUAUAUCUAGUGAGAGGGUAUAUUUGCAAAUAUGUCAAAAACAAAUGGCCUCCAAAAUACAUGAUUGUCCAGCAAAAAUUGACAAGAAGCAAACCUGUAAAUGGCUUUUCACAUGAUAUAUGGUCAGGCUGUCCACUUUCAUGAGUUUCAGCACACCUUUAGGAGUAGCUUCUGAAGUAUAAAUAUGUAUAUAUAGAAGUGUUAAGCCAAAAUUAGAGAUCUGAAAAAGACACGUAAGAAGAAGAGAGUUCAAAAUUCAAAUGUAAACUUUAAACCUACUUUCACUGCCGCCAAGCUGAUUAACAGCUUCUACAAAGCUUUCAUGGAGCUCCGGGGUCCACCGCAUGCGUGCCUUCGCUGCAGGAGCACUUGCAGUGGGUGAAGGACUAGCAACAGUGCAGAGCUCCCCGGAAUUAGAUGGAGCUGAUUGCGGAAUUGCAGGUUGCUGCAUUGAUAGAUUUGAUGGUGGACAUACAACCUAAAUAGAAAGCGAUAAAACACUUUCACUUUUUGAUUAGAUAUUUGAGAAAUAGACUUGGACCCAGUUAUGAAUUAAGCCACAAUUAAACCCGAGAAAAAAAAUACCUAAUUCACCAUUCCACAAAAUCUGUCCUGCCCAGCCAAGUUUUUUUUACAGAGCCAGACAUGACCAGAUGUACUAGGUUAGAUCAUAUCUCAAAACCCGAGCCUGAACAAAAUUCUGGGUAGCAUCAAGCCUUCAAUUUCUUUAGUUGGCCCAACCUGGUUCGAGCCACUUUUAGUCUGUUGGGCCAGGCUGCUUAAAAAUAGCCCUAGUAAUCCAGGCCCUGUUAGGUUCAGACCAUACAAUUUUCCGUUGACCCAUGAUCUUGUCCCAGCCAGGCGGGGAUGUAAUUACGUCUAGCUACCAUCAUACAAUAUACUUAGUUGCCUCCGGAAGAGGCCAAUUACCAAAGACUAGUGUUAUUAUGCACCUAGUUGUUGUUUAAUAGUACGAACAACAAUAUAAAGGGCAACACCCCAACUAAAAUAGCAACUUUGAUAAAAUCAUUUACUCUUGGUUGGAAAACUGCAUAGAGAACCAAAAAGAAAAUAAUUAAGAACUUGUAACCAAGAAAGCAAUGGUAAUUAUUCAUCUUUCACAAGUUUUAAGUUUCUAACCUUUUCGAUAAUGAGAGCAUCUGCGUAAAAAAAAAAUUACAUGAAAUGGCUUCAGUUUUGCAACAAUAACAUCAAUGUUGAAACCAACAAACCUUUGGCUGAGGUUCGGAUGCAUUCGCGUCGUAAAUAUCCUUCCAAUCAUCAUUGAUAAAGUCAUUCCACCACUCGUUUUGCUUGAUAAGUUCAUCAGAGGCCAUGAUAGGACUGCUCUGGAUCUGAUUACCGCUAGCAAUGACAUUAUCUGAGUAAUCAAGAAUGCCCUGGACGGAAUCCGGCCGCCAGUUCGAUUCAAGGGGUUCUCCCUGGUAAUUACUUGUCGAAGGGUGAUAUAUUCCCGUGUGAGAUAAAUUAGCUGAACCCAUAAAAUUUCCAGCAUUUGAUGGUUGAGAAAUAAAUGAAGAAACAUUAGGGGAAGGUGCUGAAUAUAAAGGCCCUGAAGCCGAUGAAUAUAAAGGGCCAACAACUGCGGUAUUGUAGUGCGAAGGUGCGCGAUGAGGGGGAAGAGGAUUGCUGCUGCUAAGUUCCCUUUCCAUUGAAACUUGUUGUGAAUCGGGGAGUUUCAGGAAGCUCACUUCCGAAGGAGUAGGAAGAGCAGGCAGGGAUGAUGACAUGGCACCAGAGCCUCCUAUAUCAUAUAACUGGCUCGUUGCCGAUUUCUUCAUUGAGAAAGGGACACCGGCUCCUCUUCCUUUCCAUGCAAAAAUUGAUCUCGAAGUGUCGUUUUUGUGCCACAAAUGGUUUUUAAAAGCACUGUUGCUUUAUUUUUUAGUCACAAUUACAUCAUCAGUCCUGCAUAUAUUAAAGCCGGAAAAAAGGGGCAAAUUAAGAUUUUUUUUGUACUAGAGAGAGAAUUAGCAGAAACUGAAACAAGAUAACCUAACCACCGGCAACAGAGAGGAAAAAGUCGUGAAUGUCAAGCAGACUCAAAAGGUAGAAACUUUAUUGACUAUCCACCGACAAAGUAUAAAAUGGACUAUCUUUUCAUAUGAAAGCGCAUGAAGGAAUCUAACUUAAACUCGUUUAGCUCAACUUUUGGAACAACUAAUCUGCUGGAAAAUUAGAAACUAAUUGGUAAGCAAACAAUAAUAAUGGAACUUCUCACCAUGACAGCAAGCUAAAUGUCCCAAAGCAAAAGCUCCAAAUCGAAGCUUCUACUUUUAGCGGCAGUUGGAAGGGUGUUAAGGGUAGUGUCGUGAAGAAGCCAUUAGGAUUUUGUCAAACAGCUCUACUCAAAAAGCACGUCCACGAAAGCUCCAGCAAGGUCAAAAAGACCACUGCUGGCUUCUUGGUCAGAUCAACAUCUAAAUCUAUAUUAAAAUUAAAACUUAUUAUCAAUAUCCAUAUCUAUAUCUAUGUUCUCUUAAAAUCUUUGGCAUGCUCAUUUUCAAUAAUAUUAAUUGCCAUGUAUUAGAUAACCCUUCUUGAACCUAUUGCGUAGCCUUUCAUGUACGAUUUAAAGUUAAAUAAAUGACAAGCAUUCAUAAAAGAAAGAAAAAAAGGGUUAAAAUCCAUCCAUAGCAACUGUAUAAGCAGAAAUUUUGACCUAGUCCAACAACCAUGUCGCUCAAACAUCCUUAGUCCCUAAAAAUUCCCACCUUUGGUCCCAACAAAGAAAAAUCUAACAACAAAUAACACUUCCCUAAUGAAUCGAUCUCCUUAACGAUGUUAUAUUACAUAAGAACAACAAAAGUCGAACGAAAAAGGAGAUUAUUCCCUAAAAAACGAAGAAAGUAGAAGGAAAAAUGAACCAAUUGGAUUUACUAAAUUACCCAAAAAAGGCACAAAAUUAUCAAAAAAAAAAAACAAGAGUAGAGAUGAGAUUAAAGGAGAGUUUAGCAAUUACCGAUCGUACGAGGAUUGGUAGAGAGAGAGAGAGAGAUGAGGAAGAGGAGAACGAGGGAUCCGAUCGACGAAUUGAGUUAGGUUUAGGGUUUGGCGUGGGCUCGAUUUACGCACCCGCUUUGGUUGCUGUUCAGAUCGAGAUCGCUUCAUAGUUGGCUUUUUUUUGCAUUUAGCCCCUUCCAAAAAAGAAAAUCGUAAAACAACCCUUUAAAUUUAUAAUUGCGAGAAUGUUUCACUUCUUGACAACGCAAAAAGGGCCACAUGUAAUGUUUAACUUAAUUUUACAGGGACUACGUAUUUAUAUCUUACACUCUUGUUGAUCCAAAAAUUUAUAAAAUCGCACUGUAUGAAAAUUUAUAAUUAUAGAAAUAUCUCACUUUUUAGAAAAGGGCCACCUGCAAUGAUUAACUUAAUUUUACAAAGAUCACGUUUGUGUGUGUGUAUCUUACACUUUUUUUGAUCCAAGAAUUUAUAAAAUUGCGAAAAAAAUUAGAACUUAAAAAAAAUGAUAUGGCAAAGUAAUUUACACCACAAAAUACUAGGGUGUAAAAUUUACACUCUAAUGUUCAGUAUGGAUAGCAUUAUUGUUUUUAAGAAAUUAAACAUGGACACCUCGAAGGGGUUGUAUGUCUUACACCUCUUCAUAAAAAUUCAAAUAGUUUUUAGUAUAAAAUAAAAAAAAAUUGAUGUAACAAGUAGAGAAUUAAUGAACUUUGGAUGAAAUUUAUAUAAAAUAUAGGGAUAAUUACCUAUAUACUCCUCAUGCGUUUAAAAAUAUCCGAUUUAUUUCUAUUUUUUUUCUUUUUAAAAUACUCCUCAUAUGUUCCACCGUUAUUACAAAAUAUCACCACAGUUAUCUCCUGUUAAGUUAACUUAAGUUAAACAUGAGUUAAAUAUCUACCACAAUUUAAAAAAAUUAAAAUACUAAUUUUGUCCUUAACUUAAGGACAAAUAAGAAAUGUUGGAGUUAAACGUGAGUUAAAUAUCUACCACAAUUUUAAAAAAUUAAAAUGCUAAUUUUGCCCUUAACUUAAGGGCAAAUAAGAAAUGUUGGUGACAGUAGAGGGGUGUAUUUGAAAAGACCAAAAGUUAAAACACUUUUUGUGCCCAUGACUUUAAGGGCAAAUAAGAAAAGUCGGUGAUGGUAAAAGGGUAUAUUUGAAAGGGCAAAAUAGUAAUUUCACAGAAAUAACAGAGUUCAUUAACAGAUUUUAACUCUAGACGUAUAUUUGAAAUAGAUUGGAACGUAAAAAGGUAUUUUCAAUAUUACCCUUCUAAGAGGGGUAAAUCAGAAAGUCGAAAAUUUUUCAGGGUAUAUAAGCAAUUGUUUCUAAAAUAUAUACCAUAUUUUGAGAUGUACCAGUAAAAUCACUCUUAUUUUUUUAUUUAUCACAUCAAAUAUUUUUUUUACUAUUAAUUUUUUUAGAAUUUUAUAAAUUCUAGAAUGGAGGGUGUAAUAUUUAUACCUGCUUUUAGAAUGUACAACAGUACAAGUAGAAUUUUUCAAUUUUUUAAAUUUAAAAGGCCAAAUGCAAUAAAAGUCCUCAGACUUGGGCUUAAUUUGCUUUUGAUCCGUACGUGGUUUAGGAAAUAAAACUAUGGUUUUACAGUAAUCUAUACACAUAUAUUUAGUUUCAAGUCCAGUUUUAUAAGAUUGUUUUUACAUUUUAAAUAGUUUAUUUAAAAGGAUAUAUUAAAGUGUCUCUCUGGUUAUGAUAUUUUUAUUUUGAAUAUAUGAAUUUUGAAUUCAUAUUUUUAUUUAAUUAUAUUUUUUAUUUUAUUUUUUUUUUCUAAAACUAGUUUUUAUUUGAUUUGAAUCCAAAUACCUUAUUUUAAAUUAUGUUUGGAAUUCUGAAAAUGGUCCAUAGUUAAUAUUUUAUUAUUAUUCAUAGCAGUUGCUCAAUCAAAUUUAACUCGGAUCUGAUUUUUUGUUAUCAUUAGUCGAGAUGAAAAUAUAUAGUAAUACAAUUCAUAAUUUUUUGAUAGUGUAACGGCAAACUUAUAUUUUUUAAAAAAUCAACUAUUUUUCUAUAAUACUUUUUCUAUGUCAUAUAUAUAAAAGAGUAAAUAAAAGUUUUGGAGUAAGAAUAUUUACUCUUUUAUAUACAUGACAUAGAAAAUUUAUAUAAAUAACAAUAAUUUUUAAAUAAACAUUAUAAUCAUAUAAAAGUAAUUAAUUUAUCAUAAUUCAUUAAAUAAUAUUUUCUAAAAUUUUAUUUAUUUUUGUUUUUAUUGAGAGCGUGCAUUGCACGCAAUUUUAGAUCUCCCCCCGUGUCAUAAAAACUUUGUUAACCCAAUAUACUCCGGAUCCGCAUUGGUUCGGAUUUCAGGUUGUAAGAAUAUUCUUUGGGCAAACCCGAAACUCCGGUCCGGUUCACUACGAACAACCGGGAAAAUCGGCCGAACCGAACCGGUUCCUCACCCAUAACAAUGUACGCGCAUUUUUUUUUUUCAAAACUAGCUGAAUGUACGUGUAAGUGCACAUAAUAAUUAUUUUAAUUUAUUUCAAAUUAAUAUUUUACAUCAUAUUUUUUAAAAAAAUUUAUAAUAAAAGUUAUAUUUUAUAAAUUUAUAUAUUAUAUUUUAUUAAAAAAUUUAUAUUUCGUUUGUUAUUAUAAGAAUUUUUAUAUACUUUUAUAUAUAGGAUAGAUAAGUAUGAGAAUUAUUAUUAGAUAAGUUAUUAAAUAAGAUAUAAUAUGGAUACUAUAUAGGUGGUGCCGUUAUUAGGAGAUAAGGUACGCGUAUAAAAUAUGGGCAAGUUAGGUAAAAAAGGUGACAAAUAUUAAUUCGUCAGCAAAAUUUAAUGACUAAGAAUUAAUAUAUUUUAUAAUAAUUUAAAAAUAAAAUAAAAAUUAUAUGACUGUGAUUUAUAUAUAUUUAUAAAAAUUGAAUGAAUGAUAUUAUUAGUAUAUGAUUAGAAUUAUAUUAAUAUGGAGUGACAAUUUGGAAAAUAAAAAAAAUUUAAAACUCGUUUUUUUAUAAGUAGUAUAGAUAUAGAUAAUAGAUAUUGAUAAUCUUACAAAAUUUUCUAAUUGAAUAAAUAAUUUUAUAAAAAAAAAAUUUAGCAAAUCUUUUAAAGAUGCUAAAUGUUUCGUCGCCUUCAUAAAAAUGACGAUGAAAAAAAUACGGUGAACGAAAAAAUCCUAGAAGGGUUAUUUUGUAAAUUAAAAAAUUUUAGAGGAUUAUUUUGUAAAAAAGUCCCACCUUAAACCCUCCCCUUUCGCGAGCAAUCGUCCUCACGUNACUUAAUAUAAAAUAAAAUAAUUAAAUAUUAAUAUAUAAAUGAUAAAACUUAAUAAAAUAAAAUAUAUAUCAAAUUUAAUUAAUUUAUAUUAUAUAAUAAAAUUUAAGUAUAAAUAUAUUAUCAUAAAAAUAAUAUUUAUAUUAAUAUAUUUAUUUAUUAAAUUUGAGCAUUCAUUUAAUUUAUUUGAAAUUAAUUAAAAUAAAGUAUAAAAAAUUAAAAGGCCAGAAAAAAAAAAAAAAGCCCAAAUCUCUUGCUCCGGCUUGUUCUCCCUUUUAGGGAGAACAAGCUUACCGGGUUGUUUCCAGAACAAUCCGUUAAACCGGGAACAACUCGGUUGUUCCAAAAUAUAUUAUGUUUGGAGGGAUAUCCCGCCUUGUUCUGAAAUAUUCCUCCAACCAAACGCAGCCUAAAGACGAUAAAUGUUUCGUCGCCUUCAUAAAAUUGACGAUGAAAAAAUACGGCCAACGAAAAAAUCCUACAUGGCACACAGAGGGUUAAUUUGCCAAAAAUAAAUUUAGAAGGGUUAUUUGUAAAGUAUAAAAUUUUAGAGGAUUAUUUUGUAAAAAAGUCUCACCUUAAACCCUCCCCUUUCGCGAGCAAUCGUCCUCACGUCCCCUCGUUCCCAUGGAAGCAGCGCCGCCGCAGCGCUUGUGCGGAAGCGCUUUUCGGCUCCGCCCUUCUCCUCCUCCUCCUUCGUCGUCGUCGUCGUCGUCGUCGUCGUCUCCGCUCCCUCGUCUCCUUCCUCGGAAGCUCCACUUCCGCUCCAAAAAGCGCUUCUCCGUCCUCGCCGCCGCCGCUUCCGCCGACCGCAGUAAGAUCCCCGAUCGCCUCGUUACACUCGAUUCCGCCAUCUCCAUUAUCUAAUCCAUCGUUCCUGCUGUAUUUAAUGGCGAAUUUAGCUGUCACGCUGCUCGAUUACGGCGCCGGAAACGUUCGCAGCGUGCGAAAUGCGAUCCGGUAUCUAGGGUUCGACAUCAGAGACGUAAGAUCUCAAUAUCCGCUAAAAUUUCACUUUUUUUAACUUUUCUUCCUAGUUUUAAUGCUGCGGCAGAAUAUUUAACUUUUGAUCCAGUCGAUGUGGAUGCUUGAUGUUUUCGAAACAGUAGUUAUAAAUGUUUGAGAAUUGAUUUGAAACUUGAAUAGUGCUAGUUACUAGCUUGCUGAAAUUUCUAGGUUCAAAAACCGGAGGAUAUCCUAAAUGCGGAUCGACUUGUUUUUCCGGGGGUUGGGGCCUUUGCGGCAGCAAUGGAGGUGCUAAACCAGAAUGGGUAUACUUCCUUUCUUUAUGUGCAUAUUGUUUACCUCUCUAAAGUAUCAUCUUUUAUUAUGUGCAUUUGCAUAUUGUUUACCUCUCUAAAGUAUCAUCUUUUAUUAUGUGCAUUUGCAUAUAUUUGCUGCUUGCAAAAGAUACUUCAAUGUUAUCAAUCUGAUAAGUUGGUUAGGCAAAUGGCAAUCUUUUCGGCUCAAGCAGACUUCGGAAAUGAAUUACGGCUCUUGCUUACUGUAACUUUAUGUGUUAUUAUUAUUUUUUUAUUGGACAUUCAGAAUUUGUGAUUUUGACAUAUCAACUUGUUUGCAUAAGUUACAAUGUCUAUCUAUAAUAGCUGUCUUGAGCUUUAUGAUUCAGUGCUCGAUUUCUUACUCUCUUUGUAUUUUCUCAUCUUGAAUAUACAUAUAUUUUCUUUCCAUAAUCUUUACUAAUUUUGAUGUAUGCAUUCAUUUGGUGGUUCUGUUUCAUUAAUUUUUUUGAUUUAUUUCAAUCUGUGAUUAGAACCAUUUCCACUAACAAUAAGACCUUUUGUCUUAAGCACCUACUCCCCCCACAACUCGUUCCUUGUUUAGAUACGGUGCAUUUAUCAUCCUAAUUUGCUAGGUGGCAAUCUGAAUUGGUUACGCUCUUCUUUUUCUCAAGUUACUUACCGUGACUUUGUGUGUAGUUUUUGUUGCAAAAGUGAAAUCAUUCUUGUUGGACUCGGAUUAUCUAAGUUCUGUUAUAACUACUGCAGCAUGGCAGAAGCACUCCGCAUGUAUGUCGAAAAGGAUCGCCCGUUUUUAGGAAUCUGUCUUGGACUUCAAUUGCUGUUUGAGUCUAGCGAGGAGAAUGGUCCAGGUAAUAUUAUUUUUCAUUCCUUGUCAACUUUGUUCAAAUAUGUUGGUUAGGGGUGGAAAAUCAAAAAAGGAAAAACAAAUAGUGAAUGUUGUUUAACUUCAAUUAUCAGCUUGAUGGUCGAACUCUUUUGGGGUAGAUUAGUCAAUAAUUUUACAGUUUUUUUUCAUUACUUCCAAUUUUUUUUUUUUUCAUUAUGUUUUCAACAUCAGUUUGGCUAAUGUCAAUGGUGAAAUUCACUUUCACAAAUUAUGAUAAAAGUUUACUUGUCUCAUGAUUAGCUUUUUUGAUUGGCAAUUGUAUAUUCUCCUGUUUCCAUAAUUUAUUUCGUUGCUUUGAAGUUCAUAUGAUUCAAAAUAUCAUCCAAAGGCUGUUAACACAAAUUUGCUUCACUGAAAUAUGAAAGCUUCCACCAAAACAUACAGAUGCUUUUAAGUUUGCUUUGUUCGGAGUAUUGCGCACCAUCCAGCUUGUUAAUCAUUUGGAAUUUCUUGCUUAGUGCUGUCAUAUCUUUAGGAGGAUAAGAUUGCUUCAUUCUUUUGUUAUGUACAUUUAACUAGAACUUUGCUUGAACUUAUGAAGCUCGUCAGUAAGAAAACCUGUAUUACUGCAUAUUUUGUCCUCCAGUUCCGUCUAUGCUGUGAAUCUGCAAAUCCUACAAAACAAACAUAUCUCAGAUUUAUUAUCUUUCUUUCUUUUGUAACACUAUUUUUACAGUUAUAGCAUAUUCUACACAGUUGAAGGUCUUGGGGUGAUACCUGGUCGGGUUACUCGCUUUGACUCUUCAAAUGGUCUCAUAGUACCUCACAUUGGCUGGAAUGCUGUGCAAAUUACCAAAGAAUCUGGGAUUUUGAAUGGCAUUGAAGGCCACCAUGUCUACUUUGUUCACUCAUAUCAUGCAAUGCCUGUAUGUUCGUCCAGCAACUUCUAUUUUUGUAAUUUAGCCCUAUAAUUUGCUUCCAUGUAGCUUUUGGACCAAAAUCAUUUCUUUAUAUUUGGUUAGUCAGAUGCUAAUAAAGACUGGGUUUCGUCAAUAUGCAACUACGGUGAUAGUUUUAUAUCUUCCAUAUCAAGGGGGAACAUACAUGCUGUCCAAUUUCAUCCAGAAAAAAGUGGAGGUAACCUUCUAUUGCAUCAGUGGCAGAUCAAUUUGAAAAUAAAGCUAUAAGGAACUACGAUAACUAUAAUUAUUGUGUAAUUAUCAUAUGCAGAUAUUUCAUUUAGUUCCAAUACAUUGCAAUGUUGGAUUGAUAAAUCACUAGUAUAUACUAUGAUACGAGGUCCUCGUUUAGUGCUGCUUGCCAUUCAAUGUUUAUUUUAUUUGCUGAUUAAUAUCUUUAUUCUUUGCAUACUUAUAUAUUGAUUUUUUUAUCUCUGCAAAGGAUAUCUUGAGGUGGAUGAUAGCCUUUUCCAUCCUUUUUUAUUUCAGUAUGUCAUUUUCUGUUUCUUUAAUUUAUUUUAGAAGUUAUUACUCUAAUUACAAUGUUUAUUUGGAGUUUUUCAGCUAUUGGGCUUUCGAUACUAAAGAACUUCCUGAAUCCAUCUCAUUCGUCAACAACAAAGGUAGUCCUUAAGUAUCUCAGUUUUGAUGGUGUCCUUUUCUUUUGUCUUUAAAAUCAUUUUGACAAUGAAUUGCUUCUCUUUGCCACAGGCAUCAGCUCAUCCAAAAGCUUCAAAACUGGCGAAGAGAGUAAGGGCAUUGAAAUCUAGAUAAUAUUUCAAUCCCUGUGCAUCACACUAUAAUUUUGGAUCUACUCUUCUCAAUCUCCUUACAUUUGCAGGUAAUAGCAUGCCUUGAUGUGCGAGCAAAUGAUAAAGGGGAUCUUGUAGUGACGAAGGGGGAUCAAUAUGACGUAAGGGAUCAGACGGAUGAGAAUGAGGUACGGGAGAUAGGCUUUUAUGCUUGUAUGUAGUAUAAGGAGCUAAUGAACUGAAUGCACGAACUAUUUAGACUGGCUAUGUAUGUACAAAGGUGUAGAGAUACAUGUCAAAGAGAGCUAAUGAGACAGUUACAAGAAUUUUCAAACUGGCUUCUCAUAGGCUUUAGAAAAUGCCAUUGUUGGGCAGUUCUUAGUUCGUGGGCUGAGGGCAGUUCUUAGUUCGUGGGCUGAGGGUAUCAGUGCUGAAUUUGAUGAAAUGAGGAAGCAAAAAAUAAAAUGAGCUUAAUAUCUUUGAAGAUGAAGAUACAGAAAACAGUGUUAAACAUAGUCGCCUUACAAAAGAUUAAAAUCAAAACCGCUUGUGUUUUAUGUACCAAAGAAAAACCUUGACAUUAGUUUAAAGAAAAAUUAAUUUGUUCCUUUGUUUUUGGUGCACUUUUAGUAUCUAAAUUCUCAACUUGUUGGACUUGUUUAUAUAUUUUUUUUGCCAACAGGUGAGAAACCUCGGCAAACCAGUGGAGCUGGCAAGUCAAUAUUACAAAGACGGUGCUGAUGAGGUACCAUAGUAAAGUCAUAGUAAAUAUGACAUACACUUACAUUCAACGCAAUGUGUAGUAAUGAAAUACCAUUUCAGGUUAGUUUUCUAAACAUAACAGGGUUCCGUGACUUUCCUCUGGGAGACCUGCCAAUGUUACAGGUUUGGAGCUAUUAAUUAAUAUUUCCUAUUCUAAAUUCUGUAAAUCCUUUCUAUAUUGGUGAUGACACCUUGAGGAUUGCUUUAUGAACUAUCUUAUGACUGUGAAAACAAUUAAUCUUAUAUAGGUUUUGCGUUACACAUCUGAAAAUGUCUUUGUACCACUUACGGUUGGAGGUGGCAUUAGAGACUUCACAGAUGCUAAUGGGAGGUUAGAAUUCUAACCCUCCUGUUUAGCUACGUUUUUAUGCUUGCCAAUUCGCCUGCAUGUUCACGAGCAUUUCAAUUCAUUCUUACCAUCUAUGGGCUAAACAAUAUUGACUACUUGAGAUAAUUGUUUUAUUAGUUUUGAAGCUCAAUUAUUACAACUAUCAUGCUUCCUAGGUAUCCUGGUUAAGAGGCUUAUCCUUCUGUAGGUACUAUUCUAGCUUAGAAGUGGCAUCAGAAUAUUUCAGGUCUGGUGCAGAUAAGGUUUCAAUUGGAAGUGAUGCAGUUUAUGCUGCAGAGGAAUAUUUAAAAACAGGGGUAGGCGCGAUAUAUUAUAUUGCCUUUACAUAGUUGAUGUAAGAUUUUCCAAUUUGUAACUUAUCUUUUUGUUCCUUAGGUAAAGACUGGAAAGACCAGUUUGGAGCAGAUCUCUAGAGUCUAUGGGAACCAGGUCCGUGCUUUUUUUCUGUGUAUAUUUUACUUAUAAGGAGGGUUCAAAUGUAACAUGGUGGUUUCUUUUUAUUUUAGUUGACUUGCCUUGUUCUAGCAGAAAGUAGCAUCAUCUACUAUUUGAAAACUAGAUAUUAGAAGCUUGUACAUUUUGAUGAACUAAUUUCAGUCAACACCUUGGCAUGUGCUCUUCUAAACACAUAGGCUUUAGACUUUUUAUCGACGAAAGAAGAAUCAACUUGCUUGUUCUACUUUAAAUUGAUAACUAGUUGUUUCUAUAUAAUAAUAAUAAUGAACCCUCUAUUUUGUAGGCAGUAGUUGUGAGUAUUGAUCCUCGAAGAGUGUAUGUUAAAAGUCCUAAUGAUAUCAAAUUUAAGGCUGUGAAAGUGACGAAGCCAGGUACUUUUUCAAUUUUGAUUGUUAUAAAGUUCACCCUUACUGUCUCAUUUCAUCGUUCAAUCUUUAUUCGUUCGAGCUUUGAAUGUAUCCUCCUUACUCUUGUGCUGGUUUUAGGUCCGCUUGGUGAAGAAUAUGCGUGGUACCAAUGCACAGUAAGCACUUCAUUUCUAAUUGGCCAUUAUACAUUGAACUUGACAUGUAUUUCGAGUAACCUUACCUGAGUUUAUUUGUAAAAUUUGCCUCUAAGUCAUGACUAUCGUGUGUAUUACAACCUUUUAUACAAUGAAGAUAUAUCUUUACAGAUAUUUUCCUUUCCUUGUCAAGGUAAAUGGUGGACGUGAGGGUCGGCCUAUAGGAGCUUAUGAGCUUGCAAAAGCUGUUGAAGAGCUGGGAGCUGGAGAGAUUCUACUUAAUUGCAUUGAUUGUGAUGGUAUGACUGCAGAUACCUAUAACAGCUUAAUAUUAUUGUCAAUUGCUCCUGUGCCAUAUCUUUUUUUUUUUUCUUUAUUUUGCCUCUAAUGGUAAUUAAUCUCUCCUUCCCUUUCGCUAAAUCAAAAUAUUUUCUUUUGCUCUUUGUAUCUUGUAAUCUUUAGUUGACUUACAGGAAUUUGAUGUGUCAUGUAAGUUUUUCGUGCAUCAAGGAUUAGUCUUGUGGUUUAGUAUGUCUGAAAUUUAUAAAUAUAGCUAAGAUCAUGUUCCACGUCUGCAAGCUGAAGCAUGGACAUGCCAUGCUCUUUUAUGUGAAUAUUGUUUAAAAUAGAACGAUAGUAUUACGGUUUGAAGUAUGUAUACUUUUGCAGGUCAGGGACAAGGAUUCGACAUAGACUUAAUUAAACUGGUAUCAGACGCUGUAACAAUCCCUGUAAUCGCAAGUAGUGGAGCUGGUGUUGUAGAACAUUUCUCCGAAGUCUUCCAGAAAACGAGUGCUUCAGCAGCUCUUGCUGCAGGCAUUUUCCAUCGCAAGGAGGUACCUAUAUAAAAUUCACUUACGCUUUUAUCCAGAAAUGUUUCUUAGCAGUCCCUGCAAUUCAGUUUUUUUUUGUCUUACAAUCUUAAGUGAGCUUAGCCAUCACCGAUAUGGCAGAUUUAAGGGCCUGUUUGAAGCAUGAACAUCUUCUUCAGCAAUCAGCAUCUCUCUUAUAUUUACUCAGUAGGCAUAUGAUGAAAAGAUAUCUAUAAACUGCAUAUUGUAUAAAUCACCUUGUAGCUAGGUGGAAUGCACUAUUCUGAUAAAUCAUGAUCAUUAGGAGUUUGCAAUGGAACAUGCUUGUUGGGCGGACUUAUACACUGUAAACUAAGUCGAAUAGGCGAUGAUGCCCUUCCCAAGGAGAUGCGGGAUCUUUCCAAUUUCUUCUCUCCUUGCUUCCUGUUUUAAGCAAUCACAAAAAGAUAAAUCCUCAUGCAACUCGGGAUAAUUUAUCCCGAGAUCCAUACAGUGAUAGAACUCUUGGGCCUGUAUUAUCACGGUUGUGGUUACAAGAAAAUUAUUUGAACCGAUAAUGUUCUUUGCUAUAAAAAAUCGACAUUUUGCCAUGUGCCCAUAUUCUUAUAGUUUUUUCUUUUAAAAAUGUCAUUGUAACUUUGAUCAGACUCGGAUAAUAAUCUGCCAACUACUUCGUAGCGUAGAGAAUUGGCUUUCAUCAAUUUAUAUAUAUGCGACUUUGGUCAAAACUAGGUGCUAUUAGCUUGUGUGAUCUCUCAUGUGCCCUACAAACAGGACAUGCUAAAUCAUCCAUGUAACUUAAUCAUUCAACUUGUGUAGCUUAAACUUUGACUCUGUUUGGUUUUGUGUAUCUAGAUUCAAUUAAACUUAUCAUACUGACAGUCUUGUCGAAAAAAAAGGGAGAAGAAAGCAUCAUUCUGACUUCCAUUGUGAUGAUCCAGGUUCCGAUUCUAUCCGUGAAAGACCAUCUUCUGCGGGAAGGUAUUGAGGUGAGGAUGUAAUUCAUCCACGGAGAAAAAAUUCGCGCCCGUCGAAACAAUCACUAGCAGGAUUCUUGCCAUGCUAUUAUUCCCAUCUCAUAAGGCAAUGUUGUGUGAUCUUUUUAGUUGCCCGGCCAUUUGUUUGUUGGUGGACCUUCUUAGUCAUCUUGAAGUUGUCACUCAUCACUAUUAUUGUUGCCUUGCUAUUUAUUUAUUGAUGGACCGAACAUUUUUAGUUAGCUCAACCUAUAUAAGCUGUUUGCAACAGUACUAUUUAAUUCCUUGAGAUGAAACCUGAUUCUAAUCUCUUCUUCUUCCACCUCUCUCUCUCUCUCCAUCCGGAAAGUCUGUGUAGAUAAAAUUUGAAGAACUCAAAGUGAGGUCUUUUCAACUAAACAUUUAUGUGAUUCAUCAUUUCCAUUGCUAAACAAGCUUGUAACAAUUGAUGUUGUAUCAGCAACAUACUAAACAUCAAAACGGGAAACAAAAUCAAAUCAGAUCAAAUCAAUCUCCCCUGCCUCUUCUUGAUCAUAUCGAGAAGAGCCCCUCGCCCCGGGAAAGGAUUAUUACACGACAAAUUCCCAUUACCAUUCCCUAGUAAACUCUCUCUCUUCUUCUCCUUCACAAAACCACCAUUACUACUGCUGCUGCUGCUACUACUACUCUCAUUCUCUGCUUCUUCUGCUACUACUCCCACCUCUCUCCUCACCGUCUCCAUUUGCUUCUCUCUCUUCGCCCUCCUCCUCUCCCUCCUCUCCUCUCUCUUCUCCCUCACCAUCGGCACAGCCACCCCCUCCUCCUCCUCCUCCGCCUCCAAAAUCCUACCUUUUGCUCCGCCCAAUCCCCUUCGGGCUCGGGGGAUCCGCCCCCCGAAGGAGGUGCCGAGGAGCUGGAAAUCGACGCGCGCCCACCCCUCCCUGUCGUCGUAGUCCCACCCGAAGCGCUCGGCGACGUCGCGGAGCUCUGCGACGACGCCGCCGCCGGGGCCGGAGGGGGAAAAGGAGGAGGCUCCGAGGGCGUCGCCGGAGAGGAGGCGCGCGGCGUGCUCCCACUCGAGGCGGUCGCGGUAGACGGGGUCGGCGAGGACCUGGUCGGCGAGGCGGGCCCAGGGCUCGGAGUCGCGGGCGCGGAGGGUGGAGGCGACCCAGCGGAGGUAGGAAGAGGGGAGCGAGCCGAGGCGCCGCCCCCUGUGGCGCCCGAAGUCGACGACGCGGUCGCGCGCGGGAGGGAGGGAGCCCUCGGAAGAGGAGGAGGAGGAGAGGGCACGAGCGGGGCGGAGGAGGUGGGAGAAGGGGAGGUGGAGGUGGAGGAGAUGCAUUGGUGUCUUGGUGAGGACGACGAGGAGGAGGAGGAAAAGGGGGAAUUGGGAUAAUCAUAAACUCCCAUCUCAAUCACUUCUUGCUUUUAUUAUAUAUAUAAAAUAUAAUAAUAAUAUAUAAUAUGUAUUAUAAUAAAUCUAAAAUUUAAAAGUUUUUAUAUUUUUUAAAAAUAUUUAAAUAUUUAAAUUUUCAGUUAAUUAUCAUAAAGAUCGAAAGUGUGCACCAAAAGAAAAAAAUUUUCUAACUUUUUAAAAUUUUUGAUUUUACUAUGUAAUUGUUUAAUUUGUUUGAUUUGACUCGGUUAAUGAUAUUUUAAUUUUAAAUUUUAAAUGUGUUAUUUAUCUCUCUCGUUUUUGCUAAUAUACUUCGUAUAAUUCUCGUUAACUAUAAAUUUAUUAAGAUUGGUAAUUAGUUUAAAUUUUAAAAUCAAAAUAUCAUCGACUGUCUUAAAUCAAAUAAAUUAAAAGAUUGUAUGGUAAAAUUAAAAUUUUAAAAGGUUGCAUAUCAGAUUCAAAAUAGCCUAUAGUUCAUAUAAGUCUUGUACAUUUUUAAUGGUUAAUUGUAACUAAAGAAACUUUACACCAAAAGAAAUUUUAAAAAAUAAUUUUAUUUAUAAAUUUUUGUAAAUUAAUAAAUUAUAUCUUUUUAUACUUAGGAAAGUGUUAAGGGAGUGUUUGGAUCCAUGUAAAAUUAGUUCGAAAAUUUUUUUUCAGUUGAAAAUUAAUUUUCUUUUGUUUGGUUCUCUUUAAAAAAAUAUUUUCGAAAAACUUUUUUUACGAAUACGCAGAAAAAUCGCGUUUUCGUUUUCCGCUCCGUCUGAGUGGAAAACGAAAAGCUACGAGGAAAAAGUCGCGGCUCACAGGCGCGGCUCACAUCCUUUUGCACGCGGUGCACACCCUAUAUAUUUAUAAAUAAAAUUAUAUAUAUAUAUAUAUAUAAUUUUAUUUAUAAAUAUAUAAUAAUUUAUUUUAUAAUAUUAAAUACACAUUAUUAUAUAUUAUAUUACAUAUUUAUUAUAUAAUAUAUAAAUUAUAAUAAUUAAAUAUAUUAUGAUAAUUAUAAUAUACUAAUAAUAUAUAAUAUAUAUAAUUAGAGAAAAUAUAUAUAAUAAUUAUAAUAUACUAAUAAUAUAUAUAAUAAAAAAUAUAUUAAAUAGUUUUUCAUCUACUAAUUUUUUCUUUCAACCAAACAAAUGUCAUGAAAAAUUGCUUUUCUUUUCCUACAAACCGAAUACAAACGACGUAAAGCUUUUUUCCACCAAAAUUUUUUUUUUCAUAAUUUUACGUGGAACCAAACACACCCUAACAAUCCCAGAGUUUACAAAGCCCUUUGGAUUUUAGUAUUAAAGGAAAAAAAAAAUUAAUGCUACCCAAACACUAUAAUAUAGGUGUAAACAUUACAUACUAACAUUCUUGUAAUCCUUAUUAACUCACUUAUCUUAUCAAAGUUUUAUCUGAAUAAACUUCAAUUUACUGCUACUUUUAUUUUGCCAUUCCGUAGUACCAAAACUUGCACAUAACUAUUCAGGAUGUAAAAUAUAUAUCCCUAUAUAAGGACUUUACUUUUGAAUAAAAUUAAGGUUAAAAAAAUAUAUUACUAACCUAAACUAUAAGCCAAUUUCAAUUGACUAUCCAACUUUUAAAAAUUUGAAUUUAUUAUUCAUUUUUUUUUAAUUUAUUCGAUUUAAGUCAGCUGAUGAUACUUUAACUUCAAAUUUUUAAUUAAUUUUUAACUUUAAUCAAUUUAUAACAGCAAGAAUUGCAUGACGUGUACUAAUUAAAUAUAUAAAGAAAAAUGAUGCAUUCAAAUUUUGAAGUCAAAGUAUCGUUGACUGACUCAAAUUAAACAAAUUGAAAUAUUGAAUAGUAAAAUUAAAAUUUUAAAAGAUUAGAUAGUCAUCAAAUUUUGAGGGCUAAGUUGUUGGAAUUGAAAUUGGGGAAAAUAAAAAAAAAAUUAUAAUGAAUUUUAACAAAUUUAAUCUAUAAUUAACUUAAAAUGAUGUAUAAUUCAGAUAAAUUCUAUAUAUUUUUAUUUAAAAUAAAAAUAAAAUAAAAUAUGUAAGUUAAAAUUUAAAUACGAAGAAUGAAAAUAAAAUCAAAGAUCAAAAUUUGAGGGAUAAAUUGUUGGAAUUAAAAUUGGGAAAAUAAAAAAAAAAUUAUAAUGAAUUUUAACAAAUUUAAUCUAUAAUUAACUUAAAAUGAUGUAUAAUUCAGAUAAAUUCUAUAUAUUUUUAUUUAAAAUAAAAAUAAAAUAAAAUAUGUAAGUUAAAAUUUAAAUACGAAGAAUGAAAAUAAAAUCAAAGAUCAAAAUUUGAGGGAUAAAUUGUUGGAAUUAAAAUUGGGAAAAUAAAAAAAAAAUUAUAAUGAAUUUUAACAAACUUGAUCUAUAAUUAACCCUAGCUAGUACUCUAUAGAAGGACCCGUUUUAGGGUUUAGGGUUUUAACCCUCAUCCGACGGCUCCGAUCUCAAGCUCCAAAAGUCAAAAAUACCCCUCAGUUUAAGCGACCACCGCAGCCGCUGGCGAGGGCAUUUCAGUCAUUUAACACCGACUAAACCCUACUCACCGUUCUAUAAAUAAGCACGAAAACCCCUCCCCGAACCAACCUCGGCGUCGGAGUCCCAAAUCGCCGUCGCCAUGUCGAAGCGAGGUAGGGUUUCCCUCCUCUCAUCUAGGGUUUUGGCUUACGGUGUCAUUGUUUCCAUGAUAUCGAGACGCUAAUGGCGAUUCCCCUUUCUCCAAUUCUACGCUUCAUGUUCUUCUUCUUAUCUACUUUCGCCUAUACUCGAUCUUGAAGCUUUUGCUUCUGUUUCUUUCGAUUUUUUUUUUUUUUUUUGGUUUUAUUUGACUCUUGUGAGAGAUGCGAGUUCGAAAUCAUCAAUUUGUAAACAAAAGAUCUCCUUUUUGCGGAGAACUUGAAUCUAUUUGAGCUUACAUUGCAAAAUACGAUCUUUAUGACGUAAUUUUUCCUAGAAAGGUGAGCACUCGGUAUCGCUUUUGCCACUAAUUGCAUUGCUUUUGGCUAAAAUUUAGGGCGCGGAGGUUCGGCCGGAAACAAGUUCCGGAUGUCGCUGGGUCUCCCGGUGGCGGCGACCGUAAACUGCGCCGAUAACACCGGAGCCAAGAAUCUCUACAUUAUAUCGGUGAAGGGCAUUAAGGGUCGGCUUAAUCGCCUCCCCUCGGCCUGCGUCGGCGACAUGGUCAUGGCCACCGUGAAGAAGGGCAAGCCCGAUCUCCGCAAGAAGGUCAUGCCCGCCGUCAUCGUGAGGCAGCGCAAGCCGUGGCGCCGAAAGGAUGGCGUUUACAUGUACUUUGAAGGUAACAUUCUUCUGCCCUAGUUGUCCCUGUCCAUUUUUGAUUUGUUCUUUAAUCGAUCAAUCACGUGAAAGAACAAAUCUUGUGUUGGAGCUGUUUGCAUUAGAUCUUCCAAUUUGCUUUUUUUCUCGUAAUACUAAUUCCUGAUGAGAGUAGAGUAUAUAAUUGUCGGUUUGUGCUAUUAUAUAUAUCAGAUAUACAUGGUAUAGAUUUUUCAGCUUCGAUCUCGCUGUAAUUGCUAUGGCUUCCUGAUGGUAGUGUCGAAGAUGAUUUUGUACUGAAGAAAUUUUCUUGGUAUGCGGAUGUAUAAAAUUUUUAUUCCUCGUAGAUGAAGUGAUUACUGAGUUUUUCGUGCAUGCCAUGGCCAUGAAAUCUGCACUUAUUCUUAUGCGCUUUUUAGUCUUUUUCUUAAUUUCAAUCUGCAGUGUUACUUAUCAAUUUGUUUCCUUAUCAAUGCCGAACAGGUGUGAUAACGAUAGCAAAUAGUUUCUCUCUCCCUCCCUCUCUGUUGUUGAAUAAAAAAUACCCUCCUUGAUAGCUUGCAUUUUUUUUCCUUCGGAAAGAAGCUUUCCUGAGACAAACAUAUACGUGCUCAUUGAUGUUUUACUUUUCCAGUUGCUUUUCUUUUUAAUAUAUCUCUUGUUCUAGUUGCGGAAUGUACAUAAAUAUUCUUUAACUUUUUGAUAUAAUGGAGUUUUUCAUAAUUUAAUCCCUUUUCUCUUGAUUGCUCCUAUUUUGUUGCUCUUAUGACAACGGGACUUGAUAUGCUUUGUUUUAAUUAUUCUGCAUUUCUAUCUAUUGUACAUAAAGUUUUCUCCCCUUUUCUUGCAGAGAUAUUUUUCGUAUUUUUUGAGUCAGAUUUCAGUUUUAUCUUUGAGGUGACAGGAGAAUUUUUCUGGGUGAAAAUACUCCCAACUUUCUGGAGCAAACCCUCGAUGUUUGCAUAUUCCUAAGUAAAUGUCACAAAGUAAGCCUUUGGAUGUUGAUGGCUCUUCUUGUAAAGACUAUCUUUUCAUGGAGUUCCUCCAUUUGAAGGCGGUCUCAUAUUCCAUCGCCCUGAGGAGCGGCAUCGCUGCAAUUACCUUUUGGGACUGGCCAUGAGACAAACAUGUACAUGUUCUUUGAUAAAUUAGCAUCUAAGCUCUUUUGCUGCUGAUGUGUUUUUGUGGUUAGUCUGAGACAAGCAAAUUCAUAUGUUUCCUAACUUCCGAUUUAUCAAUCACAGCUUUUUUGUUAUUUAGUAAAUGUUUUUUUUGUCAUCUUUGUGUACAGUAGACAUGGUCUUUAUUGAGGACAUGUAGCUUGCAACUCGUGUGAUCUUUCGUGCCAUGCUUUUUAUCAUGUUUUUUUUUUUUUUCAGAAGUCAUUUCCUUCUCUACGCUCUCUUACUUCAUCGAACCAGUAUUUUGUGGAUUAUUUGUUCAGUGAUGGGAGAAUUUUUCUGGGUGAAACUUCUCCAGCUUGCUGGAGCAAACCAUCUAUGUUUGCAUAUUCCUGAGUAAACAUCACAAAGUAAGCUUUUGCAUGUUGUAGGCUCUUCUUGGAAAGAUCUAUCUUUUCAAGUAGUUCCUCCAUCCGAAAGUGGUCUCAUAUUCCAUUGCCUUGAGUAGUGGCAUCGCUACAUUUACCUUUUAGGAAUGGCCAUGGGACAAACAUGUGUUUUAAGAUAUUUUCAGUUAUAACAUAUUCAUGUUUUUUCAACCUUGAACUACCAUUUUUUCUUGUUCUGUAUUGUGGAUUCAAUCUGUGUUUUUUUUGGUGGGAAAAACUGUUACUAAUCACUAAUCAGAUGUAAUAAAUAAUCCUACCUCAUCUGGUUUCAUUCUAGUUGGAUUUUUAUUUGCUGAAUUUGACUGUUUUACUGACGGGAGGAUUUUUCUGGGUGAAAAUUCUCCAACUUGGUGGAGCAAACAAUCCAUGUUUGCAUAUUCCUAAGUAAACGUCACAAAGUAAGCUUUUGGAUGUUGAUGGCUCUUCUUGGGAAGAUCUAUCUUUGCAAGGAGUUCCUCCAUCUGAAAGUUGUCUCAUAUUCCAUCGCCUUGAGGAGCGGCGUUGCUGCAAUUACCUUUUAGGACUGGCCAUGAGACAAACAUAUGCAUCUUCCUCUGUAUUUUUUUGUGUUACCCACUUCAAUAUUUGUGGUCAGUAAUGGCUGCUACAUAUAC